CUAACAAGGAUUCCCCUAGUAACUGCGAGUGAAGCGGGAAAAGCUCAAAUUUAAAAUCUGGUAGUCUCUGGCUGCCCGAGUUGUAAUCUAGAGAAGUGUUAUCCGCGCUGGACCGUGUAUAAGUCUCCUGGAAUGGAGCGUCAUAGAGGGUGAGAAUCCCGUCUUUGACACGGACUACCAGGGCUUUGUGAUGCGCUCUCAAAGAGUCGAGUUGUUUGGGAAUGCAGCUCUAAAUGGGUGGUAAAUUCCAUCUAAAGCUAAAUAUUGGCGAGAGACCGAUAGCGAACAAGUACCGUGAGGGAAAGAUGAAAAGAACUUUGGAAAGAGAGUUAAACAGUACGUGAAAUUGUUGAAAGGGAAACGCUUGAAGUCAGUCGCGUUGGCUAGGAAUCAGCCUUGCUUUUGCUUGGUGUACUUCCUUGUUGACGGGUCAGCAUCAAUUUUGACCGGUGGAAAAAGGCUAGUGGAAUGUGGCAUCUUCGGAUGUGUUAUAGCUGCUAGUUGUAUACAUCGGUUGGGAUUGAGGAACUCAGCACGCCGAAAGGUCGGGGUUCGCCCACGUUCGUGCUUAGGAUGCUGGCAUAAUGGCUUUAAUCGACCCGUCUUGAAACACGGACCAAGGAGUCUAACAUGCCUGCGAGUGUUUGGGUGGAAAACCCGAGCGCGUAAUGAAAGUGAAAGUUGAGAUCCCUGUCGUGGGGAGCAUCGACGCCCGGACCAGACCUUCUGUGACGGAUCCGCGGUAGAGCAUGUAUGUUGGGACCCGAAAGAUGGUGAACUAUGCCUGAAUAGGGUGAAGCCAGAGGAAACUCUGGUGGAGGCUCGUAGCGAUUCUGACGUGCAAAUCGAUCGUCAAAUUUGGGUAUAGGGGCGAAAGACUAAUCGA
rnacentral:rRNA from 1 species